CAGGGUGACAGGUGGUGCAUGGUUGUCGUCAGCUCGUGUCGUGAGAUGUUGGGUUAAGUCCCGCAACGAGCGCAACCCUCGACCUUAGUUGCCAGCAUUCAGUUGGGCACUCUAAGGUGACUGCCGGCUAAAAGUCGGAGGAAGGUGGGGAUGACGUCAAAUCAUCAUGCCCCUUAUGACCUGGGCUACACACGUGCUACAAUGGGCGGUACAAAGGGUCGCGAACCCGCGAGGGGGGAGCCAAUCCCAAAAAGCCGCUCUCAGUUCGGAUUGCAGGCUGCAACUCGCCUGCAUGAAGCCGGAAUCGCUAGUAAUCGCGGAUCAGCAUGCCGCGGUGAAUACGUUCCCGGGCCUU
rnacentral:rRNA from 1 species